rnacentral:rRNA from 1 species
ACGUACACUCCUGCGGGAGGCAGCAGUGGGGAAUCUUGCGCAAUGGGCGAAAGCCUGACGCAGCCAUGCCGCGUGAAUGAUGAAGGUCUUAGGAUUGUAAAAUUCUUUCACCGGGGACGAUAAUGACGGUACCCGGAGAAGAAGCCCCGGCUAACUUCGUGCCAGCAGCCGCGGUAAUACGAAGGGGGCUAGCGUUGCUCGGAAUUACUGGGCGUAAAGGGAGCGUAGGCGGACAUUUAAGUCAGGGGUGAAAUCCCGGGGCUCAACCUCGGAAUUGCCUUUGAUACUGGGUGUCUUGAGUAUGAGAGAGGUGUGUGGAACUCCGAGUGUAGAGGUGAAAUUCGUAGAUAUUCGGAAGAACACCAGUGGCGAAGGCGACACACUGGCUCAUUACUGACGCUGAGGCUCGAAAGCGUGGGGAGCAAACAGGAUUAGAUACCCUUGUAGUCCCAUG